AGCAUUGGUAUCAAAGAAAUCUACAUAAUGCGGACAGUUAUAAAGCACAAGACUCGAGAUGCUGGCAUCAGAAAGUGUAAAUGUUUCUUACAAUAAGGUUACGAAGAAGAAAAUAAAAUGAAGUUGGUUAUUUUGUGGGCACUUUUGGCCGUAAUGGUUGUCUUGCCACAAUCAGCUUACACUGAUGAGACUGAAGUGCUUCGUAUUUUCGAUCACAAAUAUCAUCCCAGCAACGAGGAAAUGAAAGACCAUUUGGACAAGGCAAAAUUGGAACAUCAUGGUUUCACAA